CUUUCACUUAGGGGAGAGAAUAGGAAAUGUCCCGAUCAGCCUGUGAGAGGGCCACAAAGACCACACCGCACCCUGCCUGAGCCGUUUCUCUCAUGGACCAAACCGAACCGCCACUGCUAUGAUCACGGUUAGGACUGAUGGGGCCGUCUACUUUCCAUCGGAGCUCCACUGAGACCACUAGCAGCACGUGGAAAAAUUCACCCACUGAGAUGGCACAGGUCCCUGAAACACUGGACCUGCAGAUCCCUGCUUCCUGUAAGAUCAUUGAAGAGGGGGACGCACCUGCUUUUCCAGCUCCUCGACAUCUGCAGUUGAGAUGUCCUCCACAUAGUUGGAUGGGAAGUACUGCUGGAUCCUGGUUCCAUAGUCACCUUUCCACCUGGAUAAGAAGAGGGGACAUGGGGGAGCUGUCACCAGGUGGCAUGAAUUACCCAAUACUGUUCAUUAGCUCCCAGCUGCUGGCUCAAUUCUGAUGGGGACAGGUAGCAAGUGGCCGAGUGACCAGUGUCACUAUCUGACAACGCAGCAACUCCCUGGCAGCUUCUUUUUAUUUUUUUAAUUACCAAUGAGUUACAGGGGGCUGAUUUUCCUCCUCAUCACAUGAUCUUAAUGUUUGACCAAAGAUACCACAAGUCAAAAGUUUCAGUGCUUUAAGUGGAAGUCAGAGACCAUACGAGACAAAAGCUCAACCCCAUUUCAGGGAAUAAUUUUGAGAAAAGGUGGCUCUAGAGCCAGGUAGCCUGAGGUUAAAUUCUAACCCUACCACGGACUGUGGAGGCUUUCUGUGCCUCCGACUCUCCACAAAAUGGUCAAACACAAGUACUUCCCUCAGAAGCUUUUGUUAGGUCUCUCUAAAUUAACAUAAGCUGAGUGCUUGGGACAGCAGCUACCUAGCACACAGUAAGUACUCAAUAGUGUUAGCUGUUAUUAUUAUUCAGCUAAAACACUGUUCCCUAUCUUUAUAACAGCACUAACAACACUUGACAUAAUCCAUCUGUGAAUGUCCCCGGAGCCUACCAGAAGGUGAGCACCUCUAAGAUUCCUCCACGCAAGUCCAUGCCCAGACACGCAAACCUCCUUCUUCGACCUGCGCAUCUCAAGAGCCACUUUGCAGCCACAGACUCUCCAAAAUGCACCUCUGACCACACCACGUGAUGGCUCCCCAAGACCUCUAGAAUCCAGCCCAGACUCUUCAGCAUGGCAACCACAGCCCAGCACAGUCUGACCCCAGGACUCCCAGACCUCACCUCUUAACUCUCCAUGACAUUGAUUCCAGAUGACCCAUUGUCCCCAUCAUGCCCCUUCCAUGUUAGCUAGCUUCCAUGUCUUAGUCCACACCCUUGGUAGCCAGCUUCCCUCUACUAAUUUAAGACUCAGUUUGGGCAUUUCCUCUUCCAGGAAGUCUUCCCUGACUGCCACCUAGGUUGAGCACUCUUCCUCUGUGGUCCCCUGGCAUCCUGUCCCCACAGUCAUCCAACAGCCACACCUUAUACUUAUUGUGUAAUUAUACAUCUGUCUUCCCCACUAUAUGAGAUCUUUCUGGAUUUUUAUUUUUCUUUUUAGACCGAGUCUCAUUCUAUCCCCCAGGCUGGAGUGCAUGGUGUGAUCUUGGCUCACUGCAACCUCCACCUCCUGGGUUCAAGCAAUUCUCCUGCCUCAGCCUCCAGUAGCUGGGAUUACAGGCAUGCAUCACCACGUCUGGCUAACAUUUGUGUUUUUGGUAGAGACAGGGUUUCACCAUGUUGGCAAGGUUGGUCUCAAACUCCUGACCUCAAGUGAUCCGCCUGCAUUGGCCUCCCAAGGUACUGGGGUUACAGGUGGGAGCCACCACACCUGGCUGACCUUUCUGGACCUUAAUCAAGUCUGUGCUUCAUGGUGGUAAGAAGAAAUUUAAUAUUUUUGGUUUGAAUAAGCAGAGUGAGGACUCAUGCUACCAGUUCACAUAGCAGAGACACAGGACUGCAGGUUGUAAGCCCUUUUCAUGCCUUCCACACCAUUACUCUAGAUCCACUUCUGGCAAAGGCUGUCUAUAUUGAGGGUGAUCAUAUGUAUCAUCCAUCCAGGACUGAGCAGUUUACAUUCCUUUGACACUCCAGAGCAUCCUGGUUCAGACAAAAGUUGUGUGGUCCCCUAGCUACAGGGGAACCAGUUUGGGAGUAUGCAAAAAAAAAAAAAAAAAAGCCAUUUCAGGCUGGGCAUGGUGGGUCACGCCUGUAAUCCCAGCACUUAGGGAGGACGAGGUGGGCGGAUCAUGAGGUCAGGAGUUCGAGACCAGCCUGGCCAACAUGGUGAAACCCCAUCUCUGCAAAAAAAUACAAAAAUUAGCUGGGGGUGUUGGCACUUGCCUGUAAUCCUAGCUACUCAGAAGGCUAAGACAGGAGUAUCGCUUGAACCAGGGAGGCAGAGAUUGCAGUGAGCUGAGAAUGCACCACUGCACUCCAGCCUGGGCGAUAGAGGGAGACUUUGUCUCAAAGAAAAAAAAAAAAAAAAAAAGGCCGUUUUACACAGGCAGCCCUCUCAGUAGCACUUCUGCCAUCAGAGAGAGAAAGAAAUGACCAUGGCCACAGGACAGUUUGCCCACAGUCCCUUGCCAAAGAACUCCUCUUAACUCAUGUCAAGAUAAGAGCCUUGGAAAUUUGGAGAACUGCCUAUCAGAGGCAUGGAAAGACAUGCAGCAGUCUCACACAGAAUGGAAAACUGUGAUUUGGAGCAGUCAUCUGGGCUCCAUCCACAACUCCAAAAAUGUUAGUCACCCACCCAGUGAGCACCACCAAGACAUUGGCCAAGGCAGGGACAGGAGCACAGUGAGGGAGUGCCAGUGUCCCUGGAAGAGACCUCAACUCUGUCUGUGCCACUUCCAGGGGAGGGACCUCGGCAAAGCCAAGCAUCGGAACUGGGAGAAGCUGAUGGACACCAUAGUUGCCGAACUGGGUCUGGGAGCCUCCAAGGGGAAGCAUCAGGGGCUGCAGUAGACUUGGCUGCUUCUUUGAUUCUGGGGAAUCUACAUAUAAAUUGGUUUGCAAUGAGGUUCUCCAGAUUUUUAGAAGAACUUUGACAAUCCCUGGAUUAAGGCAUCUUGCAAGAGGACAGGGAAGGACUUAGCAGAUGAAUGAGGUUACGAGUGUAGGCUUUGGAUCCAGAAGGCCUGGGGGUUCAAAUCUCAGCCUGUGUGGCCCUGGACAAGUGGCUGCACUUUUCAGGGCUUCAGUUUCCUCAUCUGUAAAACGCAGGUAACAACAGAACCAACCUUUUACGGUCGUCCUGUGGGUUCAGUGCGUUAUUUCAAACGAAGUGCUUAAAAUGGAGCUUGACACACAGAAGCACUCCCUGUAAGCUGCCAUUCAGAUUUCUAAGUCAGGUCUAGGUAUCUUGUGAAAGGUGGAAAUGUCCACCUACGAGGUGCUUAAACCAGUGCUCACUAUUACGAGCAAGUUCUGACUGUCCUCAGAAGUCACCCCACAAAACCACUGACCCAGAAACCUGUCAGUAGGCAGUGAAUUUUUCUUCCAAGGUGAAAAAGGGAAGUGGUAACUAAACCCUAGCACACCCAGGUACCUUUGCUCUAAAAACGUAUUGUCUUCAAUUCAGGAUGUGGCCAUUGCAUACAGCACCGGACUACGCAAUAGCAUGAGAAUUUGAACUGGAAACAACACACCGUCUUGUGUAUCGAAAAUAGCCUGCGCCCUUUAGUAGCUGUGUGACUCGGAAAGUCUCAUUCACCUCAUCUUUAAAGUGGGAAUAAUCAUAGUCCUCACCACAGGGAGUAAUGAAGAUUUGGUUGAAAGCAAUUAGCAGACUGCUUGCCACCUAGCAAGACAUCAAUAACGAGCAAGCACGAAGCCGCCUUCCUAAAAAGGGACGUAACACAAGAGGUCAAAGCCAGCCCAGAAUGACAGACAAAGCGGAGGGGUCAGACUCGGCCAGCACCUGAGUCUCAUCACCAAGAAGGGACAAGUCAAGCCCACCCGCCAAGCAGCCCAGCCUCUGCCCAGCCUUACCAGCC